rnacentral:rRNA from 1 species
UACGAAGGGGGCUAGCGUUGUUCGGAAUUACUGGGCGUAAAGGGCGCGUAGGCGGUGUGUCAAGUCAGGCGUGAAAGCCCCGGGCUCAACCUGGGAACCGCGCUUGAGACUGGCACGCUCGAGUUCGGGAGAGGAUGGUGGAGUUCCCAGUGUAGAGGUGAAAUUCGUAGAUAUUGGGAAGAACACCGAUGGCGAAGGCAGCCAUCUGGACCGACACUGACGCUGAGGCGCGAAAGCGUGGGGAGCAAACAGG